AGAGUUUGAUCAUGGCUCAGGACGAACCCUGGCGGCGUGCUUAACACAUGCAAGUCGAACGAUGAAGCUGGAGCUUGCUCCGGUGGAUUAGUGGCGAACGGGUGAGUAACACGUGAGCAAUCUGCCCUUGACUCUGGGAUAACUGCGGGAAACUGUAGCUAAUACCGGAUACGACCCUUGGAGGCAUCUCUGGGGGUGGAAAGAAUUUCGGUCAAGGAUGAGCUCGCGGCCUAUCAGCUAGUUGGUGAGGUAAUGGCUCACCAAGGCGACGACGGGUAGCCGGCCUGAGAGGGUGACCGGCCACACUGGAACUGAGACACGGCCCAGACUCCUACGGGAGGCAGCAGUGGGGAAUAUUGCACAAUGGGCGCAAGCCUGAUGCAGCAACGCCGCGUGAGGGAUGACGGCCUUCGGGUUGUAAACCUCUUUUAGUAGGGAAGAAGCGAAAGUGACGGUACCUGCAGAAAAAGCACCGGCUAACUACGUGCCAGCAGCCGCGGUAAUACGUAGGGUGCAAGCGUUGUCCGGAAUUAUUGGGCGUAAAGAGCUCGUAGGCGGUUUGUCGCGUCUGCUGUGAAAUCCCGAGGCUCAACCUCGGGCCUGCAGUGGGUACGGGCAAACUAGAGUGUGGUAGGGGAGAUUGGAACUCCUGGUGUAGCGGUGGAAUGCGCAGAUAUCAGGAAGAACACCGAUGGCGAAG
rnacentral:rRNA from 1 species